AACGAACGCUGGCGGCAUGCCUAACACAUGCAAGUCGAACGAGACCUUCGGGUCUAGUGGCGCACGGGUGCGUAACGCGUGGGAACCUGCCCUUAGGUUCGGAAUAACUCCCCGAAAGGGGUGCUAAUACCGGAUAAUGUCUUCGGACCAAAGAUUUAUCGCCUUUGGAUGGGCCCGCGUUGGUUUAGCUAGUUGGUAGGGUAAAAGCCUACCAAGGCGACGAUCCAUAGCUGGUCUGAGAGGAUGAUCAGCCACACUGGGACUGAGACACGGCCCAGACUCCUACGGGAGGCAGCAGUGGGGAAUAUUGGACAAUGGGCGAAAGCCUGAUCCAGCAAGGCCGCGUGAGUGAUGAAGGCCUUAGGGUUGUAAAGCUCUUUUACCCGGGAUGAUAAUGACAGUACCGGGAGAAUAAGCUCCGGCUAACUCCGUG
rnacentral:rRNA from 1 species